AUAGUACUCCCUUCGUCCGUAAAUACUUGUCGAAGGAAUGUAUCUAGAUGUAUUUUAGUUUUAAAUACAUCUAUUUUUAUUCAUUUUUCCGACAAGCAAUUCGGGACGGAGAGAGUAGUAG
rnacentral:pre_miRNA from 1 species